GAGUUUGAUCCUGGCUCAGGGUGAACGCUGGCGGCGUGCUUGACACAUGCAAGUCGAACGUGUGCAAACAAGAGUGGCGAACGGGUGAGUAACACGUGGGAACGUACCCUACGCAGGGGGAUAACUGACCGAAAGGACAGCUAAUACCGCAUAAGACCGAAAGGUGAAAGGUGCAAAUGCAUCGGCGAAGGAGCGGCCCGCGGACCAUCAGCUAGUUGGUGGGGUAAGAGCCUACCAAGGCGACGACGGUUAGCGGCGUGAGAGCGUGGCCGGCCACAGGACACUGAGAUACGGGUCCUACUCCUACGGGAGGCAGCAGUGCGGAAUUUUGGACAAUGGGGGCAACCCUGAUCCAGCCAUGCCGCGUGCGGGAAGAAGGCCUUCGGGUUGUAAACCGCUUUUAGCCGGGAAGAAAAGGCGGCUCCUAAUACGGGCUGUUCUUGACGGUACCGGCGGAAUAAGCACCGGCUAACUACGUGCCAGCAGCCGCGGUAAUACGUAGGGUGCGAGCGUUAAUCGGAAUUACUGGGCGUAAAGCGUGCGCAGGCGGUUCGUUAAGUCUGAUGUGAAAGCCCCGGGCUCAACCUGGGAAYGGCAUUGGAWACUGGCGGGCUKGAGUGUGGCAGAGGGGGGUGGAAUUCCGCGUGUAGCAGUGAAAUGCGUAGAGAUGCGGAGGAACACCGAUGGCGAAGGCAGCCCCCUGGGCUGACACUGACGCUCAGGCACGAAAGCGUGGGGAGCAAACAGGAUUAGAUACCCUGGUAGUCCACGCCCUAAACGAUGAUCACUGGGUGUUCGGGGGGAUCUCUGRGUACCGUAGCUAACGCGUGAAGYGAUCCGCCUGGGGAGUACAGUCGCAAGAUUAAAACUCAAAGGAAUUGACGGGGACCCGCACAAGCGGUGGAUGAUGUGGAUUAAUUCGAUGCAACGCGAACAACCUUACCUACCCUUGACAUGUCGCGAAGCCGGUGAGAGCCGGGGUGCCGAAAGGAACGCGAACACAGGUGCUGCAUGGCUGUCGUCAGCUCGUGUCGUGAGAUGUUGGGUUAAGUCCCGCAACGAGCGCAACCCUUGUCCCUAGUUGCUACGGGCACUCUAGGGAGACUGCCGGUGACAAACCGGAGGAAGGUGGGGAUGACGUCAAGUCCUCAUGGCCCUUAUGGGUAGGGCUUCACACGUCAUACAAUGGUCGGUACAGAGGGUUGCCAAGCCGCGAGGUGGAGCCAAUCCCAGAAAGCCGAUCGUAGUCCGGAUUGCAGUCUGCAACUCGACUGCAUGAAGUCGGAAUCGCUAGUAAUCGCGGAUCAGAUGCCGCGGUGAAUACGUUCCCGGGUCUUGUACACACCGCCCGUCACACCAUGGGAGUGGGUGUACCAGAAGCAGGUAGGCUAACCGCAAGGAGGCCGCCUGCCACGGUGCGUUUCAUGACUGGGGUGAAGUCGUAACAAGGUAGCCGUAUCGGAAGGUGCGGCUGGAUCACCUC
rnacentral:rRNA from 1 species